rnacentral:rRNA from 1 species
AUUGAACGCUGGCGGCAUGCUUUACACAUGCAAGUCGUACGGCAGCGCGGGCUUCGGCCUGGCGGCGAGUGGCGAACGGGUGAGUAAUGCAUCGGAACGUGCCCAGUAGUGGGGGAUAGCCCGGCGAAAGCCGGAUUAAUACCGCAUACGACCUGAGGGUGAAAGCGGGGGACCGAAAGGCCUCGCGCUAUUGGAGCGGCCGAUGUCGGAUUAGCUAGUUGGUGGGGUAAAGGCUUACCAAGGCGACGAUCCGUAGCUGGUCUGAGAGGACGACCAGCCACACUGGGACUGAGACACGGCCCAGACUCCUACGGGAGGCAGCAGUGGGGAAUUUUGGACAAAGGGGGCAACCCUGAUCCAGCCAUGCCGCGUGCGGGAAGAAGGCCUUCGGGUUGUAAACCGCUUUUGUUCGGGAAGAAAUCCUCUGGGCUAAUACCCCGGGGGGAUGACGGUACCGGAAGAAUAAGCACCGGCUAACUACGUG